GACGAACGCUGGCGGCGUGCUUAACACAUGCAAGUCGAACGGAAAGGCCCUGCUUUUGUGGGGUGCUCGAGUGGCGAACGGGUGAGUAACACGUGAGUAACCUGCCCUUGACUUUGGGAUAACUUCAGGAAACUGGGGCUAAUACCGGAUAGGAGCUCCUGCUGCAUGGUGGGGGUUGGAAAGUUUCGGCGGUUGGGGAUGGACUCGCGGCUUAUCAGCUUGUUGGUGGGGUAGUGGCUUACCAAGGCUUUGACGGGUAGCCGGCCUGAGAGGGUGACCGGCCAACUUGGGACUGAGAUAAGGCCCAGGAUCCUAAGGGAGGCAGGAGUGGGGGAUAAUGCACAAUGGGCCGAAGCCUGAUGCAGCCACGCCGCGUGCGGGAUGAAGGCCUUCGGGUUGUAAACCGCUUUCGGCUGUGACGAAGCGUGAGUGACGGUAAUGGGUAAAGAAGCCACGGCUAACUACGUG
rnacentral:rRNA from 1 species